UUAAGCGACUAAGCGUACACGGUGGAUGCCCUGGCAGUCAGAGGCGAUGAAGGACGUGCUAAUCUGCGAAAAGCGUCGGUAAGGUGAUAUGAACCGUUAUAACCGGCGAUGUCCGAAUGGGGAAACCCAGUGCAAUUCGUUGCACUAUCGUUAACUGAAUACAUAGGUUAACGAGGCGAACCGGGGGAACUGAAACAUCUAAGUACCCCGAGGAAAAGAAAUCAACCGAGAUUCCCCCAGUAGCGGCGAGCGAACGGGGAGCAGCCCAGAGUCUGAAUCAGCUUGUGUGUUAGUGGAACGGUCUGGAAAGUCCGACGGUACAGGGUGAUAGUCCCGUACACCAAAAUGCACAGGUUGUGAACUCGAAGAGUAGGGCGGGACACGUGGUAUCCUGUCUGAAUAUGGGGGGACCAUCCUCCAAGGCUAAAUACUCCUGACUGACCGAUAGUGAACCAGUACCGUGAGGGAAAGGCGAAAAGAACCCCGGCGAGGGGAGUGAAAAAGAACCUGAAACCGUGUACGUACAAGCAGUGGGAGCACCUUCGGGUGUGACUGCGUACCUUUUGUAUAAUGGGUCAGCGACUUAUAUUCUGUAGCAAGGUUAACCGUAUAGGGGAGCCGCAGGGAAACCGAGUCUUAACUGGGCGUUAAGUUGCAGGGUAUAGACCCGAAACCCGGUGAUCUAGCCAUGGGCAGGUUGAAGGUUGGGUAACACUAACUGGAGGACCGAACCGACUAAUGUUGAAAAAUUAGCGGAUGACUUGUGGCUGGGGGUGAAAGGCCAAUCAAACCGGGAGAUAGCUGGUUCUCCCCGAAAGCUAUUUAGGUAGCGCCUCGUGAACUCAUCUUCGGGGGUAGAGCACUGUUUCGGCUAGGGGGUCAUCCCGACUUACCAACCCGAUGCAAACUACGAAUACCGAAGAAUGUUAUCACGGGAGACACACGGCGGGUGCUAACGUCCGUCGUGAAGAGGGAAACAACCCAGACCGCCAGCUAAGGUCCCAAAGUCAUGGUUAAGUGGGAAACGAUGUGGGAAGGCACAGACAGCCAGGAUGUUGGCUUAGAAGCAGCCAUCAUUUAAAGAAAGCGUAAUAGCUCACUGGUCGAGUCGGCCUGCGCGGAAGAUGUAACGGGGCUAAACCAUGCACCGAAGCUGCGGCAGCGACACUAUGUGUUGUUGGGUAGGGGAGCGUUCUGUAAGCCUGCGAAGGUGACCUGUGAGGGUUGCUGGAGGUAUCAGAAGUGCGAAUGCUGACAUAAGUAACGAUAAAGCGGGUGAAAAGCCCGCUCGCCGGAAGACCAAGGGUUCCUGUCCAACGUUAAUCGGGGCAGGGUGAGUCGACCCCUAAGGCGAGGCCGAAAGGCGUAGUCGAUGGGAAACAGGUUAAUAUUCCUGUACUUGGUGUUACUGCGAAGGGGGGACGGAGAAGGCUAUGUUAGCCGGGCGACGGUUGUCCCGGUUUAAGCAUGUAGGCUGGUUGUCCAGGCAAAUCCGGAUAAUCAAGGCUGAGGUGUGAUGACGAGGCACUACGGUGCUGAAGUAACAAAUGCCCUGCUUCCAGGAAAAGCCUCUAAGCAUCAGGUAACAUUAAAUCGUACCCCAAACCGACACAGGUGGUCAGGUAGAGAAUACCAAGGCGCUUGAGAGAACUCGGGUGAAGGAACUAGGCAAAAUGGUGCCGUAACUUCGGGAGAAGGCACGCUGGUGUGUAGGUGAAGCCCCUGCGGGUGGAGCUGAGACCAGUCGAAGAUACCAGCUGGCUGCAACUGUUUAUUAAAAACACAGCACUGUGCAAACACGAAAGUGGACGUAUACGGUGUGACGCCUGCCCGGUGCCGGAAGGUUAAUUGAUGGGGUUAUCCGUAAGGAGAAGCUCUUGAUCGAAGCCCCGGUAAACGGCGGCCGUAACUAUAACGGUCCUAAGGUAGCGAAAUUCCUUGUCGGGUAAGUUCCGACCUGCACGAAUGGCGUAAUGAUGGCCAGGCUGUCUCCACCCGAGACUCAGUGAAAUUGAACUCGCUGUGAAGAUGCAGUGUACCCGCGGCAAGACGGAAAGACCCCGUGAACCUUUACUAUAGCUUGACACUGAACAUUGAGCCUUGAUGUGUAGGAUAGGUGGGAGGCUUUGAAGCGUGGACGCCAGUCUGCGUGGAGCCAACCUUGAAAUACCACCCUUUAAUGUUUGAUGUUCUAACGUUGGCCCCUUACCGGGGUUGCGGACAGUGUCUGGUGGGUAGUUUGACUGGGGCGGUCUCCUCCCAAAGCGUAACGGAGGAGCACGAAGGUUAGCUAAUCCUGGUCGGACAUCAGGAGGUUAGUGCAAUGGCAUAAGCUAGCUUGACUGCGAGCGUGACGGCGCGAGCAGGUGCGAAAGCAGGUCAUAGUGAUCCGGUGGUUCUGAAUGGAAGGGCCAUCGCUCAACGGAUAAAAGGUACUCCGGGGAUAACAGGCUGAUACCGCCCAAGAGUUCAUAUCGACGGCGGUGUUUGGCACCUCGAUGUCGGCUCAUCACAUCCUGGGGCUGAAGUAGGUCCCAAGGGUAUGGCUGUUCGCCAUUUAAAGUGGUACGCGAGCUGGGUUUAGAACGUCGUGAGACAGUUCGGUCCCUAUCUGCCGUGGGCGCUGGAGAAUUGAGGGGGGCUGCUCCUAGUACGAGAGGACCGGAGUGGACGCAUCACUGGUGUUCGGGUUGUCAUGCCAAUGGCACUGCCCGGUAGCUAAAUGCGGAAGAGAUAAGUGCUGAAAGCAUCUAAGCACGAAACUUGCCCCGAGAUGAGUUCUCCCUGAGACUUUAAGUCUCCUGAAGGAACGUUGAAGACGACGACGUUGAUAGGCCGGGUGUGUAAGCGCAGCGAUGCGUUGAGCUAACCGGUACUAAUGAACCGUGAGGCUUAACCUU
rnacentral:rRNA from 1 species